UUCUUUUUUUUUUGAAAAAGGAAAUUUUGUUUGUCUUUAUCCUCUCCGCGCCCGACGAGUGCGCGGCGGCCGGUGACCGGCCCCGACAGGUGUGCCGCGGGUCCCGCGGCGCCAUGUGGAUCCGUCCCGAUCCUUCUGCCGCCUUCCCCGCCCGGGCGGGGCGCCGGCCACCGACGGCCACGUACCACCGCAAUAUAAGCCCGGCAUCGAUCCGCUCCCCGGCACCCCGAAAUCCUCCUCCCGGCGGCGGUUGGCAAGCUCGCGGGCGCGUGGCAGCGGAAGCGUACGACGAGGUGAGGAGAGCCAGAAGCCAGAGCGGCGCGCGGAUCGUGAUCACAGCUUGGUGGGGGCGGAGAUGCUGGCGGUGUUCGACCGGGCGGUGGCGCCGAGCCCGGAGGGGCUGCGGCAGCCGGGCGCCGCCGGGGACGGCAGCGCGGCGGGGCUCGCGGACCGGUUCAGGGAGGCGCGCCCCGAAGCUGUCACCGUCAACCUCAGCGGGUCCGGCGCCAUGGCGUACUCCUCCCACGGCCAGAGCCCCCUUCUUCCCCGGCUGUUUGGCGCAGUGGAUGACAUAUUCUGCAUGUUCCAAGGCACAAUUGAGAACGUUGCUGUCCUCAAGCAGCAAUACGGAUUAAGUAAAGGCGCUAAUGAGGUCAACAUCAUCAUUGAGGCUUACAGGACGUUGAGGGACAGGGGUCCUUAUCCAGCUGAUCAAGUUGUGAGAGACAUUAGUGGAAAAUUUGCAUUUGUUCUGUAUGAUUGCUCCACCAAGUCGGUCUUCAUGGCUGCCGAUGCUGAUGGCAACGUUCCAUUCUACUGGGGCGUGGACUCUGAUGGCCGUCUCGUGGUUUCUGACGACGGUGAAAUCGUGAAGAAGGCCUGCGGAAAAUCCUCAUCCCUAUUCCCCAAAGGCUUCUUCUUCACGACGUCCGGAGGGCUGAAGAGCUAUGAGCACCCCAUGAACGAGGUGAAGCCGGUGCCGAGGGUGGACAGCAAGGGCGAGGUGUGCGGCACGACGUACACGGUGGACGCCAAGGCCAAGAAGGACGCCAGCAUCCCCAGGGUCGGCAGCGCCGCAGAUUGGUCCUCGCAAUACUAGAAAUUUACUAACUGGUUAUCUAUCUUGUGUGUGGAGCAGCUCAGGUAGCAAGCAGGUGUGGAGUUUGUCUGUCCUAGCCCGAUGUUCCUAUGGAAACCAGAUCAGAGAUGAGCUGUAUGAACUUGAACCAAGACGAGUAGCUGAUCCGUUGCAAAUGUUUCUGGACAAUCAAUCAUCUUGCAACUGAACUCCAGAUGCAGAGACACGGUGAGACCUGAAACCCAAUGAGAUUGGUGGGCACUCUCCACAUUCCGCGCUGCUGAGUUGGAUCAUGCUCGCGAAUGCUGAAGCACUGAAGAGGACAGCAGGGCAGGGGACAAAGGGAGUGAUGAGCAAGCACGACACGGGCGUCAGCCACUGUGCGCAACAGUGGCGGCCGGGCGCGCGCAACCGUUCGCUGUGCGCGCACAUUCCUCUUGAUUGUCACCAAUAAUUCGCGCGUAUGGGCCGGCCGCCCGCCAUGGACCGUCGAGGGAGUGAAGGCCCGGUGGUUCAAUGCCGUGUCGCUUGCGGCAGCCGGCAGAUUGCCCCAUCCAAUCUAUCCCCUUCCAUCCGCUUCUCUGCAGUCCGCCCACGGCAUUCUUUCACUGUUCACCC